rnacentral:rRNA from 1 species
GACGAACGCUGGCGGCGUGCUUAACACAUGCAAGUCGAACGGAAAGGCCCUGCUUUUGUGGGGUGCUCGAGUGGCGAACGGGUGAGUAACACGUGAGUAACCUGCCCUUGACUUUGGGAUAACUUCAGGAAACUGGGGCUAAUACCGGAUAGGAGCUCCUGCUGCAUGGUGGGGGUUGGAAAGUUUCGGCGGUUGGGGAUGGACUCGCGGCUUAUCAGCUUGUUGGUGGGGUAGUGGCUUACCAAGGCUUUGACGGGAAGCCGGCCUGAGAGGGUGACCGGCCACAUUGGGACUGAGAUACGGCCCAGACUCCUACGGGAGGCGGCAGUGGGGAAUAUUGCACAAUGGGCGGAAGCCUGAUGCAGCAACGCCGCGUGCGGGAUGACGGCCUUCGGGUUGUAAACCGCUUUCGCCUGUGACGAAGCGUGAGUGACGGUAAUGGGUAAAGAAGCACCGGCUAACUACGUG